rfam:Xenopus tropicalis strain Nigerian Chr02_contig_394, whole genome shotgun sequence.
UCCUCGUUAGUAUAGUGGUGAGUAUCCCCGCCUGUCACGCGCGAGACCGGGGUUCGAUUCCCCGACGGGCAG